AUGGUUGUUGACUUCUCUCUUUUGGAUCUAGAUCUCAAAACAGAUGGACAUGUUUUUGGAGCACUCGUGUUUUAUCUCCUUAAUAUUAAUCGAAUUCCUAGUUCACUGCAGAGGCUUAAGAUCAUCAAAUUAAGAUCAGUGGUAAAAGAAACAUGCCCAACGGAUUGUCCUUGUGAGUCCACAAACUGGAGAUCCCAACCGAUCUCCUUGACUGCUCUUGAAGAAGUGGAAAUUGACGGAUUUGAAGGAGUGGACCAUGAGUUUGAUUUACUCAAACUACUACUUGUAUCUGCGCCGAUGCUUAAGAAAAUUAUAGUGAGGCUCUCACAGGAGGCCUCAACAAGUAACACUAGAUGCACAAAAAUACACAACAUCUUCAAAACCUAUGGUUCAACAAAAUGUUUUGUCUAUCUUAGCUCCGGUGAGUAUGUUUUUUCGGAAUUUAUGAUUAGCAUGCUCCUACAUGAAGUAGAUAUAUAA
rnacentral:rRNA from 1 species